rnacentral:rRNA from 1 species
UACGUAGGGUGCAAGCGUUGUCCGGAAUUAUUGGGCGUAAAGAGCUCGUAGGCGGUCUGUCGCGUCGGCUGUGAAAUCCCGAGGCUCAACCUCGGGUCUGCAGUCGAUACGGGCAAACUAGAGUAUUGCAGGGAGACUGGAAUUCCUGGCGUAGCGGUGAAAUGCGCAGAUAUCAGGAGGAACACCGGUGGCGAAGGCGGGUCUCUGGGCAAUAACUGACGCUGAGGAGCGAAAGCGUGGGGAGCGAACAGG